UAGCCAGGAAGAACGCUUGUGGGCCU
rnacentral:piRNA from 1 species